CAGCUUCCCUCUUUGUGGGCACAGGCAGGUUCAUAUCAGCAUUCAUAGAAUUUUGUCUUAACUGCUGCUGCCUCUUAGUAUAAAGACUUCAAAUGGCCUUUUUCUUACUAGCCUUCCUAGCAGAUGCUCCUAUGGCACUAGGAUCUUGGAGCCUCCCCCUCCAAUAUCUUUCUAGGCUGAAGAUACCAACUUGUUGACUAGAUGAACUUACAGGGAACUGGAGCAGUUCAAUGACUGAGUGUCAAACCUCUGUUUCUUCUUAAGAGGCACAACCAUUUCAGCCUUUAUGGAUCAUCCUUCAAGAUCAUGGUUCUGCUUUUUUCCUUUGAUUCCAUCUGGGUGUUGCAGGAGGCCACUGAUACCUUGACCUUCUGUUUCUUGGAGUACCUAGUGGAAAUAAUGAAGCAAGAAGAUCCAGGAAGAGUCACCUGAUGGGAAAGAAGUCCUUCCCCUGCUCAAAAAUGGGUCAAUUCCAUGGGACACAGUCCUCCACAAACUUCUCAAGUAUGAGUCCUUCCCAUGGGCUACAGUUCCUCACAAACUGCUUCAACAAGUCCUACCAGUGAACCUGUUCCAGCCUGGGCUCCUUCUGCCAAGGAUCCAAAGGUCCUGCCAGGAGCCUCCUCCAGUGUGGGCUUCCCACAGGGACACAGCCUUCUUGUGACAUCCAUCUGCUUCAGCAUGGCCCUCUUCCACAGCCUGCAGGUGGAUCUCUGCCCCUCACAGGUCUCCAAGGGGGACAGCCUGGAAGUUUGCCUCCCCGUGCUCUUCACCACAGCCUGCAGGGGAAUCUCUGCUCCAGCUCCAUGUGCUCCAUCUCCACUGACUUUGGUGUCUGCAGAGUUGCUUCUCUCACAUAUUCUUUUCUCUGGCCGCAAUUACUUCUGCACAAUAACUUUUUUUCCUUCCUAAAUAAGUUAUCACAGAGGGUCUACUGCCUUUGCUGAUUGGCCUUGACCUUGGCCAGGGGAGGUUCUCUUUUGGAGCCUGCUGGAAUUGGCUCAGUUGGGCAUGGAGGAAGCUUCUAGCAGCUUCUCAUGGAAGCCACCUCUUGCCUUCUCACCCCCCACCUGAACCCUGCCGUGCAAACUCAGUGCAGCAGUUUCUUGGACUGAGGCUGUUCUCGUGUCGAAAGGCAUCCUUAAGUCUUGUCACUUCUGAAUUAGAGCAGAAAGAGCUCUUCAACAGUCACCUACAACACAGCCUGAAGAGGUGUUGGCCAUCUGCAGCUCCCACUAGAACCCAAGAAGCAGAUCCUCAGUGUCACUCUGGAUUUUGUUUCUAAGCAAAGAAGAGUUUGGUGAUUUCAGCGUGCAAAUAGCUAAAAUUUCUUCUCCUUUGGACUUGAUUCAGUGGUAAACAGUUCUAUUUUGCCACUUUGCCUAUGAUGAAAGUCCUUUAACUUUCUAAUAGAAAACCAGGUGUAGAGAGUUCUGUGUGAAUGUUACCACGGGCACAGGGAAAAUAAAAUUAUUUUUGUUUAUUUAACUUAUUUAGUUUUCAGUCUGUCAUUUCUCUACUGCACUCAGAGCUAAGAUUCAUUUACAGUAUUAAUGCACUUCAUUAUGUUUUUUCUUUUUGUAGGAAUGAAGAGAUUUUAUGGAAUGACUUGAGGUUUUACAAAUUUUUGUAUACUAAAACCAACAAAUUAUUUAGAAAGGAGGAUUUAUUAUAAAAAUUC